rnacentral:rRNA from 1 species
UACGAAGGUCCCAAGCGUUAUCCGGAUUUAUUGGGUUUAAAGGGUGCGUAGGCGGGCUAUUAAGUCAGUGGUGAAAGCCCCAGCUUAACUUGGGAACUGCCAUUGAUACUGAUGGUCUUGAGUACAUUUGAGGUGGGCGGAAUGUGUCAUGUAGCGGUGAAAUGCUUAGAUAUGACACAGAACACCGAUUGCGAAGGCAGCUCCACUAAACUGUA